rnacentral:tRNA from 1 species
GGCAGAGUAGCCAAGCGGUCUACGGCGCCAGGUUCAGGCCCACCUGAAUUUCGCAUUCAAUGCUUCCUGGUCUCAGAAAUGGGGCGUGGGUUCGAAUCCCACCUCUGUCA